UACGUAGGGGGCAAGCGUUGUCCGGAUUUAUUGGGCGUAAAGAGCGUGUAGGCGGCCUGACAGGUCUGCUGUGAAAACUCGAGGCUCAACCUCGAGAUGUCGGCGGAAACCGUCUGGCUAGAGUCCGGAAGAGGAGAGUGGAAUUUCCGGUGUAGCGGUGAAAUGCGUAGAUAUCGGAAGGAACACCUGUGGCGAAAGCGGCUCACUGGACCAUAACUGACGCUGAGGCGCGAAAGCUAGGGGAGCAAACAGG
rnacentral:rRNA from 1 species